rnacentral:rRNA from 1 species
AUGAGUGCUACGGACGGGUUGAUGAGAGGAAUGGAAGUGAUUGACACGGGAGAUCCUCUCAGUGUUCCGGUCGGUGGAGCUACUCUCGGACGAAUUUUCAACAUUCUUGGGGAGCCUAUUGACAAUUUGGGUCCUGUAGAUAGUAGUGCAACGUUCCCCAUUCAUAGAUCUGCACCUGCCUUUAUCGAGUUAGAUACGAAAUUAUCCAUCUUUGAAACAGGACUAUUUGGGGGGGCUGGAGUAGGUAAAACAGUACUGAUCAUGGAAUUAAUCAAUGACAUUGCUAAAGCUCAUGGGGGCGUAUCCAUAUUCGGUGGAGUAGGGGAACGGACUCAUGAAGGAAAUGAUCUUUAUAUGGAAAUGAAGGAAUCCAGAGUAAUUAAUAAAAAAAUAUUGAGGAAUCAAAGGUAG